GCCGCCGUAGCUCAGCCCGGCAGAGCGCCGGCCUCGUACGGCCCUCCGAGAGAGCCGGUGGUCGCGGGUUCAAAUCCCGCCGGCGGCU
rnacentral:tRNA from 1 species